rnacentral:lncRNA from 1 species
UCCCAUAUAUACCUACCUACCUACAUACAUACAUACAUACAUACAUACAUACAGAGACGGUUCCUUUCAGCUUCUGUUAACCAAAUCCACUCACAAGGCUUCCAUGUCGUUGGGAAGUAAAUUUCUUACCACACAGUCGCGCAUGCGCCUUCAUACAGCCAUACACCCAGUGUAUAUAUACAUAUAUGUGUGUUGAUGUAUGUGUGUAAGUGUGUGUAGAAAUAUACGAAUAUUUAUAUGUGUGUGUGUAUAUAUAUAUAUAUUUAUAUAUACAUACAUACAAAUAUACGUGUAUAUGUAUGUAAGCACACAUAUAUACAUACAUACAUACACUUAGAAGACUAUGUAUAGGUGUUUCUCGAAGAAGACAAUAAAAUGGACAUGAUAUGCAGCCAUGCAAGGCAGAGCAUUUGCAAUCCCAAAACAUAAGAUUGUUGCGAAAUAUUUUGCAAAUAAAUGAGGCAGAGAAGCAUUGGGAAGGUCUCGACGCAACCGAAAACCUGGUUUCACUCCUAUUUCUCAGACAGUGUGAUUAGCAGCUUGGACCCUAAAAUAUGUCCUCAAGGCACCACCUUCCUCUGCAACAUGACGUUGUCGCAGAAACAAUAUACGAUGGCUUUCGGGUGAAAAAGACUGUCCUGGAAUAAAUAUAGAGAGACCCCACCCCACCCCUGUUAUACACAAACAUCAACAUAAGGAAUACUGCUGGAAUAUUGCUAUCAAAGGAAGCGCGUUAGGGUAUUGGUCUCAUGAUCGUAAGAUUAUGGUUUCGAUUCGUGGACCGGGCGAUGCGUUGUAUUGUUGAGGAAGACACUUCAUUUCCCGUUGCUUCAGUCCACUCAGAUAGCAAAAAGGAGUAAUCCUGAGAUGGACAGGCAUCCUGUCCAGGUGGAGAAUGUAUUUGCCAUGGAAACUGGGAAACCGGUCGAAUGAGUCUUUAUAAGAGGCGGGAUUUUUGGAAAACAAAGCGACGGAGGAUGACUAUGGACACUUGCUUCGAAACCGCCAGUUUCUAGAUUCAGAUUAUAAACGCACAUUUAUACCAAUGAUAAUUGGUGCACUUACAUUUGUGAGUAAAUGUCUAAGGAACAAUUUAGGUUAGCCGGGAUUUUCAGAAUAAGAAAUCAACCAACUUUCUCAUUACAAAUAUAAGUGGAAUAGUAAAAAUAUGCAAAACAUUUCUCGAAUUUCAAAUGUGACAUUGUUUGCUGUCAAUAUUCCAAUGAUGGAGCUUUGUAUCUUUGCUGGAAACCAGCUCUUUCUUCAGAGGAACUAUUGAAAUAAUCCUUUCUACUGUGGGCACAAGGCCUGAAAUUUCCGAGGAGGGGUUUAGUCGAUGACAUCGACGCCAAUGCUCAUCUGGUAAAUUAUUUUAUCGACCUCCGAAAAGGAUGAAAGGCAAAGUCCAUUCCAACAGCAUUUCAACUCAGAAAGUAAGAACGGACGAAAUUCCGCUAAGCAUUUUGUCCGGCGUUCCAACGAUUCUGCCAGCUCGACGCUUUAAAGACUUCAGAUAAUGAGAAACAUACAUACAUAAUACAUACAUGCAUGCAUGCAUACAUACAUACAUAUACACAUGCAUGCAUACAUACAUGCAUACAUGCAUACAUGUAUACAUAUACGCAUACAUACAUGCAUACAUGCAUACAUGCAUAUAUACAUACAUGUUUAAAGGCUCAAUGCAUCAUCUGGUAAAAUCAUGGAAACCACGAAGUUACAGUCGUGGGCCCAACAUUCUUAUCACUAGGCUACAUGUCUGCACACCCGCGAUAUAUACAUUACAUGUGGGUGUAUGAGUUUGUCUGCGGGUGUAGCUGUGUGGUAAGAGGUUAGUUUCACAACCACAUGGUUCCGGAUUCAAUUCCACUACGUGGCGCCUUGUACAAAUGUUUUUUAGUCUAGCUUCAGCCCUAGCAAAGCCAUUUGAGUGGAUUUCGUCGAGACGGAAACUGAAAGAAGCCCUUCGUUUAUAUAUAUAUGUGUGUGUGUCUUUGUGUCUCUGUUUGUCCCCCACUACUGCUUCACAUUCGAUGUUGGUGUGUUUACGUCCCCGUAACUUAGUGCUUCAGCAGAAGCGAUCUUUAGAAUAAGUACCAGGAUUACAAACGCACACACACACACACACACACACACACACACACACACACACACACACAUAUAUAUAUAUAUAUAUAUAUAUAUAUAUAUAUAUAUAUAUAUAGGUACAACGCACACACACACACACACAUAUGUUUCUGUAGCGUGAAUAAGGUAACUGUGUCUAUGUGGUGACGUUUAUUUGUCCUUCUCAGAAGCGGCCAUCUUAUGCUGCAUCCCUUUAUCACGCGUAACUUAAGGAGUCGAUAAACAGCGAGAUAUCAGGCUGGCGUAUGCACCGGUGCGGGGUGGGGCUGAUAGGAUCGAUUAAAUCCUGCAGGCAGUCACCCAUUUUGCAAUAACUGCAUCCAGGACACACACACAUACAUGUAUAUGUAUGUGUGUGUGUGCCUCUGUGUCAGUGUGUGUGCGUAUAUGUGUGCAUGUGUGUGCCUCUGUGUCAGUGUGUGUGUAUGUGUAUUUCAUUUAAAUUGCCAUCACACUUGCAUCGAACAGAAACACUUAUAACUACAAACAAUUGUGUUGAGUGCUACUUUCUUUCGUUCGUCCACUCGCGUAUAUAUAUAUAUAUAUAUAUAUAUAUAUAUAUAUAUAUAUAUAUAUAUAUAUAUAUGUAUGUAUAUAUAUAUAUAUAUGUAUAUAUAUAUGUAUGUAUGUAUAUGUAUAUGUAUGUAUGUAUGUUUAUGUAUGUAUAUAUGUAUGUAUAUACAUACAUAUAUAUAUAUAUAUAUAUAUAUAUAUAUAUACAUAUAUGUAUAUGUAUACAUAUAUAUAUAUGUAUAUAUAUAUAUGCGGUGGUGCCCCAGCAUGGCGGCGGACUUCGGGCUAAAACAUUUUUAAGGAUUUAAGGAUAUAUAUAUAUGCAUGUACAUAUAUAUAUUUGUGUGUAUAUAUAUAUAUAUGUAUGUAUAUAUAUAUGUGCAUAUAUAUAUGUAUGUAUGUGCAUAUAUGUGUGUAUAUGUGAAUACAGAUGUGAAUACAUAUAUGGAUAUAUAUGUACGAACGUGUGUGUAAGUGUGCGAUUUGACUGAUACUUCAAGUUUCGCCAUUAAAUGCUUAUCUAAUCGAACUGGUUGAAUAGUCAACCAGUAGUCAAACACGAAGCCUAAAGCCUUACUCAAAUUAAUAUUAUCAAUAACUAUUUUUUACUACGUGUAUAGUCUCACGUCAGUUACACAUCAGUCUCAGUAUCUUAUUUCUCGAUAUAUAUAUAUAUAUAUAUAUAUAUAUAUAUAUAUAUAUAUAUAUAUAUAUAUAUAUAUAUAUAUAUAUAUAUAUAUAUAUAUAUAUUAUGCACACACGUACAUACAUGUACGUUUGUGUGUGUAUAAAGUCACAAAUGACAGCGCAAUGGUUUGAUGAAAUUUUAUUUAACAAUAAUUUAACAAACUGUUUCGUUAUUUAAAACACGUAAGUAAUUUAUUUUAUUAUAUUUAACAAUAAAUAGAUUAACUCUAUGCCUGCAAGUGCUUUAUAUUCUAUGUUUUGUACCAUUAAGGAGCAGUUUUUAUGACUACCACCGGAUUGCUUGAAUCUAUAUACCGUGACUAAUAUAUAUAUAUAUAUAUAUAUAUAUAUAUAUAUAUAUAUACAUCACUUAGAUAUAGAGGUACUAUCAGUGGUGUUCGGACUCAAUAUACAUAAUGUUUCAAGGCGACGAGCUGGCCUAAUCGUUAGCACGCCGGGCGAAAUGCUUAACGGUAUUUCGUCUGUAUUUACGUUCUGAGUUCAAACUCCGCCGAGGUCGACUUUGCUAUUUAUCAUUUCGGGACGAUAAAUUAAGUACCAGUGCAACACUGGGGUCGAUAUAAUCGAAUGGUCCGCUCCCCCCCCCCAAAUUCCGGGCUUUGAGUAGAAAAGAAUAUACAUAUGUCCCAGAGCUAAACGUUAGUUGAGUACUGAGCGUAAUAACAGCUUAUGUAAAUGACAAGGGAACAGGAAAUUCUAUGGACUCCGUUAGCUUACAGCUGUUUCUUCUACGAGAUGCAAUCCAUUCAUGUAUAUAUAUAUAUAAAUAUAUAUAUAUAUAUAUAUAUAUAUAUAUAUAUAUAUAUAUAUAUAUAUAUAUAUAUAUAUAUAUAUAUAUAUAUAUAUAUAUAUAUAACUUAUAAAUAAGUUGUUUAUAAUUUAACCUUUAAAAGUAUUUUUUAAUAUGCUGGCCAUUGAUAAAAUUUUUUUCGAAAACAUUUUAUCCUACAUAUAUAUAUAUAUAUAUAUAUAUAUAUAUAUAUAUAUAUAUAUAUAUAUAUAUAUGAAACAAGAACAUGGGCGUCUCUUGGCGCUCCUUUCUUCUAAUUGAUGGAUAUGUGUCAGUAUUCGGCAACGCAUGACUUCACGCUAUAGAUGCCAGCAAGAGACGGAGCUUAUAGGGAUCAGCAUGGAAACCUAUGUAGCAUGAUUGUCGAGCAUCCAUUCGUAUAUAUACAUACACACAACACACACACACACACACACACACACACACAUAUAUAUAUAUAUAUAUAUAUAUAUAUGUAUAUAUGUGUGUGUGUCUGUAUCAUAUAUAUAUAUAUAUAUAUAUAUAUAUAUAUAUAUAUAUAUAUAUAUAUAUAUAUAUAUAUAUAUAUAUAUAUAUAUGUAUGUAUGUAUGUAUGUAUGUAUGUAUGUAUGUAUGUAUGAGGCAUGUGAUCUAAAGAAUGAGGUUUCGAUUCCUGGACCGGGCGACGCGUUGUGUUCUUGAGCAAAACUCUUCAUUUCACGUUGCUCCAGUUCACUCAGCUGGCAAAAAUGAGUAACCCUGCAACUGACCAGUGCCCCAUCGAUUGGGACCCGGUGAACAUACUGCACAGGGUCCAGGAAACCGGUUUUAUGGUUAGGACUCGCGAAUGACCUUUCGUCCUGCUACAUACACACACACACUCUCUCACACACACAUGAAUCCGCAC